GGGAACUACGAGCCAAGCUUAAAACCCAAAGGACUUGACGGUACCCCAUAUCCCCCUAGAGGAGCCUGUCCUAUAAUUGAUAAUCCCCGUUUAACCUCACCACUUCUAGCAAUUCAGCCUGUAUACCUCCGUCGUCAGCUUACCACGUGAGCGUCAGUGAGCUCAAUGUUAUUUCAACCAAACGUCAGGUCAAGGUGCAACACAUGAAGCGGAAAGAGAUGGGCUACACUUUCUACCAUAGACCACACGAAAGACUAACUAUGAAACCUAGUCAGAAGGCGGAUUUAGAAGU
rnacentral:rRNA from 1 species